UUUACUCGUGUAUGACUGGCAGAAACGCAUUGUGUAACCAGCAGUCUUUUUUCACUAUCUAUGUGAAGAAGCCAUCUCCUGAGAGAAAGGAUAGGCAGUGUGAUACAGAAACUGUACCACCUCAGGAGUCAGACAAACCUGACAGUUUGACUCUGGGUUAAGUUCUUCACUUGAGUCUUGGUGCCCUUACUUGCAAAAUAGAAUAAUACUGCCUAACUUAAUGUUAUUCUGAAUAUUUGAGAAGAUAAGUCAUUCGACAGAUAUUCACCAAGUGCUUUAUCCUGAGAGCAAUGGAGAAUCGCUCUAAGGUCUUAAACAGAAGAAGCAACAUAAUUAAAUGUGAACUUUGGAAACAGAACUCUGGCUGCAAUACGGGGAAUGAAAGAGGGAACAUGUUAGUGGAUAUCUUGGAUCUCUUGCUUGGAUAUCUGAGUGGAUGGAGGUGCCGCUAACUAGAAGAGAAAACACUGGAAAAGCAGCAGGUUGAGAGAAAAGUGACAAAUUCUGUUCUGGACAGAUCUCUUACAUGGUUGAGGAUAUUUUUGCUUUCCCCGCUGGCCUGGAAACAUCCACUGCUCAUGGACCAUGAGCUACUUAUUAUAAUGCAGCGUAUACACUGUACUUCAUAAUUGGGGAGGAACGUUCGAACCAGAGAAAACACGAGCAUCCCUAAGAGAGAAGACCAGUGUGCAUUCCCAGCCCAAGGUGGAGCCAUGGGGCACCAAGCGGACAGUGUAUGACCUGACACAGGAGAGGUAGGCAGGGGUAAGAACAUGCUGGGAACAUGCAAAGAUCCAGAGCUGAGAACGUCACUUGUUCAGAGAACUGAAAUUUCAGUAAUUCGGAGAAUAAAGAGGUGGAACUUCAGAAGUAUUUGCUAGAAGAGUCUCACAUCAGGAAGGGGCUCCAAAGCUA